UAAUAGCAAAAUGAGAAACUACAGAGGAACAUAUUGAUAGAUUUUAAAACAUAAAAAAGUUAAAAUCCGUAUUCACAAAAAAACUAUAAACAAAGUUAAAAGAUUUAUGACAAUUGGGAGACUAUUUGUAACAUGUAUAGACAGAGGUAUAAAUACAAAGCUAUGAAUAUAUUUGAAAAUUCAGGAGAAAAAAAAUUCCAUAGAAAAAUGGGUGACAAACAUAGUAAAUAAGCAUUUACAACAUAGGAAGAGAUAUAGUGGUCAAUAAAUAUACAAAGUUAAAUUAAACCUAGCGUAUUGGUUUGCUAUGAAUGCUGUAACAAAAUUAGCACAAACUUUGUUGCUUAAAACAACAAAAUUAUUCUCUUACAGUUCUAGAGUCCAGAAAUUUGAAAUCGGUGUCACUGGGCCAACAUCCAGGUGUCAGCAGGCUAUGCUCCCUCCGGAGGCUGUGGGGGAGAAUCCUUGCCUUGCUUUUUCUAGUUCUGGUGGCUGCCAGCGUUCCUUAGCUUGGUUGCAUCAUUUCAAUCUGUGCCUUUGUGGUCACAGUGCCCCUCUUCUGUGUGUCAAAUCUCCCUCAGCCUUUCUUUUAUAAGGACACUUGUGACUACAUUUAGGGCCCACCCAAUAAUCCAGGAUAAUCCUUCCAUCUCAAGACCCUUAACUUAGUCACAUCUGCAAAGAUCUAUUUUCCAAAUAAGGUGACAUUUCCAUGUCCCAGGGAUUAAGGCCUGAUAUCUUUGGGAGUCAUUGUGCAGCCUAUUACAUCUAACUACCAGAAAUUGUUUUCAGAGGACAAUUUGGCUGGAUACAUCAAGCUACUUAAAAGUGCUCAAGUUAUUCACUUUUUAGAUAUUUUUCAAAUGGAGGUAAUGAAAGCUGUAAACAAAGAAGAUCAUCACAAUAUUAUUAUAGUACUAUUUAUAACAGUUAAACAUUGUAAGUCACCUGAAUGUUUGGAAUUUUUUUAUAAAGGUACAGUAUACCAAGCAUACACUAAAAAUCAUUUCUUGAAGAACUUGCAAAACACACAUGAAAAAAUGCUAAGCUUGCAAAGCAGGGAAACAAACUGUAUGAUUCCAUCUUGUUCAAUACAUUUAAAGACAAAUAAAUGCAUAUAUUCACACGUGCAACUGGAAUGACAUACUCCACAACAUUAGGAGUGGAUAUCUCUGGGUUGUGAGAUUAUGAGUGAUUUUUAUUUUCCUUUCUGUAUUUUUUCAAUUUUUUUACAUUCUUUUGCAAUGAACAUAUUUUACUUUCUUUUAAUUCUAUGAUCCCUGUUAGACCAAGGUCUUAAUCACUUAACCGCUUAAUCAUUUGACCACAGAGGGUGAGCUGAGCUGGGCAUCCUGAGAGAGGAGGGGGCAGACAAUGACUUUAAUUUUUUAUGCUAAAUUGAUAGUGGGACAUCCAGAUACCACUUGUACGUGGACUCUGGGGUCUUGGGGAUCAAGUGGGGCUAACGGUACAGACACAACCAUCUCUGGAGCUGUGCAUGGUGAAGCCCUAGAGGGGCCGAGCCAGCCUUCUGGCCUGCUAAUAGUAUUCUGGUCUGCGUUCUCAUGGAACACCAGCAUUCUGCACCCAGAUUCCUUCCACUUUCCUCUCUUUGUGUGUACGUUUAUGCGCACUGGCUGCCUGACCUGCAAUAAUUCAUUUGUCCAAUAAGGUACUAAUAAAUUAAGAUCUAUGUUUCAUAUUGAAUGAAGUAUUUAAAAUUAUCAUUAUAGUUAUAUUUCAUUUAUUUCUUUUUCUUAUUUUGUGAAAUGUUCAAUGAGCGCAACCUUCCAGGGUUGCCUGUCCCUAAACAAUGGAGAGUAAAACCCAACACUCAGCUCAUGGGGCAUAUCUCAGUCCUCUAUGCCCAAAGACACCUGAAAGUGAAUCAGUUUCAAACCCUGUGUUGCAAAAGAGAACAUGACAUGAGCUAUGACGGUUCCGGGGGAUAGCAUAUCACAGAAACAGAGACAACUUGCUGUAAGAGAUAUCUACAUUUGGCCUCCAGGAGUGUAAUUUUUCCUUCUGUCUUGAGCAAACUCGUAUGAACUACAGAAUGGCAUUUUGCAAUAACUGCAGAGCUGAAUGCUGGGCUCUGGGGGAAAGAAUGAGAGUACAGAAGCUAGCAGGUCACAGAGUGCUUGGACCCUGCUUCCUGAGCAUAAUCCUGAGGAGGCGGCACAGAUCUAUAAAGUCCUCGUCCUGCUCAACUCCCCCUGACUUUUGAGCUCACCACCUCUACACUGCUUUUGGUGGAGCCACCAAAAAUGUCGUUCAACUUCUUGAAUGUCUAGACUGAGCCUUUUCAUUUGGUUUCCUCAGGACUUACCAUGAUGCCGGCAUGUAAUGGGUGUUUUAUAAGCAUUUGUUGAAUAAUAAAUAAAUGUUUU
rnacentral:lncRNA from 1 species